rnacentral:tRNA from 1 species
ACUCAGUAGCUAAGUGGAUAACGCGAUGGCGUUUGGAGCGAUCAGUACUGGGUUCGAGUCCCAGAAAGAACA